rnacentral:rRNA from 1 species
GACGAACGCUGGCGGCGUGCUUAACACAUGCAAGUCGAACGGAAGGGCCCUGCUUUCGUGGGGUGACCGAGUGGCGAACGGGUGAGUAACAGGUGAGUAACCUGCUCUUGACUUUGGGAUAACUUCAGGAAACUGGGGCUAAUACAGGACAGGAGAUCAUGCUGCAUGGUGGGGGUUGGAACGUUUCGGCGGUUGGGGAUGGACUCGCGGAUUAUCGGCUUGUUGGUGGGGUAGUGGCUUACCAAGGCUUUGACGGGUACCCGGCCUGAGAGGGUGGCCGGCCACAUUGGUACUACGGUACGGCCCAGACUCCUACGGUGGGCAGCAGUGGGGAAUAUUGCACAGUGGGCGGAAGCCUGAUGCAGCAACGCCGCGUGCGGGAUGACGGCCUGCGGGUUGUAAACCGCUUUCGCCUGUGACGAAGCGUGAGUGACGGUAAUGGGUAAAGAAGCACCGGCUAACUACGUG